rnacentral:lncRNA from 1 species
UGGGUGAACUAUGGGGCAUUUGCCCGGAGUUCAUGCUCAGCAUCAGGGUCAAAGCAAAGGGAACUCUGACAAUGAUUCCAUUGUGAACUUGUUCUGGGAAUGCCAUGAUGAUUCUCUAUCAUGUUCCUCGUACACUGCACCAGCACCACUGCUUCCCUUCCCAGUGAGAACCCGAUCAAGCUUUAUCAUGCAGCCCAGAAGGGUGGGGGAAAGAAAAAGAAUUAGGAGAAAAUGUUGUAAAAGUAAUGAGAUAAUAUGAGAAUGUGCUUUGGGAACUGCGAAUCUGGAGUCACUGGUCCAUGAGGAAUCUAGGAUAAGAAGAAGGAAGCUGUGAAGAAUGGUUGGCUAACAGUGCUGGCAAGGAAUUCAGAUCAACAUACCUCUCAAAAGAAUGGAAGUCUCUUAAACUCAGACAGAAUAAAGGAGGCACAGAGAAGUUAUACAAAUUGUCCUGGCACAAAAAACUGAUAAGACUUAAGCCCAGGAGUACUGGCCCAAGAAGAUAUUAGGUUGGUACAAAAGUAAUUCUGGGUUUUGCAUUGUUGGAAUUUGCCGUUUGAUAUUGGAAUCCAUUCUUAAAUAAAUGUGGUUAUGUUAUACAUCAAUUUAACGGGCAUUUCUUACUUUAUGUUUUUUUGCUGCUUAUUUUAUGUUUAUUUUAGACUAUGGAAAUGAUGUUGGAGAAAAAGCAAAUUUGAGCGAUUUUCUUAUUUGAGUUCAAAAUGGGUCUUAAAGCAGUGGGGACAACUGGCAACAUAACAAUGCAUUUGGCCUGGGAACUGCUAACCAACUCUUAGUUCAAUGGCGGUUCAAGAAGUUUUGCAAAGGAGACAAUAGCCUUGAAGAUAAGGAGCAUAGUGGCCGGCCAUCAGAAGUUGACAACGACCAAUUGAGAGCAAUAUUUGAAGCUGAUCCUCUUACAACUACACGAGAAGUUGCCAAAGAACUCAGUGUCGACCUUCCUAUGGUUGUUCGGCAUUUGAAGCAAAUUGGAAAGGUGAGAAAGCUCCAUACAUGGGUGCUGCAUGAGCUGAGUGAGAAGAAAAAAAUCGUCAUUUUGAAGUUUUGUCUUCUCUUGUUCUUCACAACGGUGAACUAUCUCAUGAUUGGAUUGUGACGUACGAUGAAAAGUAGAUUUUAUAUGACAAUGGGCAAUGACCAGCUCAGUGGUUGGACUGAGAAGACACUCCAAAGCACUUCCAAAAGCCAAAUUUGCACCACAAAAAAAGGUCAUGAUCACUGUUGGGUGGUCUGCUGCCACUCCGAUCCACUACAGCUUUCUGAAUCCUGGCAAAACCAUUACAUCU